CGAGCUGUCAAACUUUUUCACUCGCGCGUGUUCGAUCAUGUCCGCGUAGUUGUUGGGUUCGGUGUCGAAUUUUCCGCAAUAAAUCGCGUGUGAAAGUUUAUUGGGCGCUUGCCCAAGCAUGUUUUGAUUUAGUUCCCGUCUUUUGUUGAAAAGCCCCGCCGGGGACCAAGCCGGAAUCAGUCCGAGACGAUUUUCUGCAACUUUGGGAAUAUUUCGACCAUUGAUCAUUUGAAGCUGUUGGCGCUCGAUUUGGCCGAGGAACGACACCAGCGACGAACUCCAACCACAGAGUAACCCUCUGCGCCUGCCUAUACUCAAACUCCUUUCUCCAUUCAUGUCGUUCAUCACCGGCCAAUUUCGUCACUGUUGGCAGUAUCCGUCACACCGUGCCCCGUGAAACCUGUAACCAGCAGAAUGAAUCUCUUCUACCCACACCAAUGCUGUUUCCGUAAGCGGUUCUCUUUGUGCGGACCAGUAUGUACAACAAAAUUGGACAUCCGUCUCCGGAUUCUGGUCAGACAGGAAGCAAGAAGAGGAACCUCAACCAGAGCUGACAAACGAUGUGCUCAUCGUUGAGAUCUUGGAAGACACGGAUGAGGUCGUCGAGUACAAGAAAAAUGUACUCGUCUAUGUACCAAAAGAUUAAUCCGGCCUUUUCCUUGAAGUCGGUGGCCCGCGGCAGGCUUGAAUCUCAUUUCUCGUUGGAGUUGAAUAGAAACCCACAUCGGAACACAAAAGCUACCAGAGUUUCCCGAGCUCAUCAUUCACAACGAGAAUUGAGAACGAACGUGAACUGGUCCCGGCUCCAGCAUUAAAGAUAGAUCUCCAAAGAAAAAAAAAGUCGCUGGAGUUGCAGUUUGGAGUGUUGGUAACGCAAAUAGAAUUAAAACAAAAGUGAAAUGUUAUCAAAGCGAAAUAAAAUUAAAAUACAUUCAAUGUUACUGUACCUACAACUCAUUGCACUGUUUGAAUAUAGUUUUUACAGUACGAUUUAAUAGGAAACAAACCAUAAUAAACUAUAAUUUUACUGUGAAAUUCA